CGCUGGCGGCGUGCUUAACACAUUCAAGUCGAACGGAGAGAGAGGGGCUUGCUCCUCUUGAUCAGUGGCGGACGGGUGAGUAAUGCAUGAGCAACCUGCCUUUCAGAGCGGGAUAACACAGGGAAACUUGUGCUAAUACCGCAUAACGUGCGAGCGUCGCAUGGCGCAUGCACCAAAGGAGCGAUCCGCUGAAAGAUGGGCUCAUGUCCGAUUAGGCAGUUGGUGAGGCAACGGCUCACCAAACCGACGAUCGGUAGCCGGACUGAGAGGUUGAACGGCCACAUUGGAACUGAGAUACGGUCCAGACUCCUACGGGAGGCAGCAGUGGGGAAUAUUGGGCAAUGGGCGAAAGCCUGACCCAGCGACGCCGCGUGAAGGAAGAAGAUCUUCGGAUUGUAAACUUUUGUCAACAGGGACGAAACAAGACGGUACCUGAAGAGGAAGCCACGGCUAACUACGUGCCAGCAGCCGCGGUAAUACGUAAGUGGCGAGCGUUAUCCGGAAUUACUGGGUGUAAAGGGUGUGUANGCGGGCGAGCAAGUCAGAUGUGAAAUGCAGGGGCUCAACUCCUGAACUGCA
rnacentral:rRNA from 1 species